CGCCUCCCCGCCGAAAGCGGACCCCACAGUCCGGUCACCUGGGUGUUCUCUCCCUCCCGAAACGCCUGUGCUACCCGCUGCCGCAGGCAAAAAUGGAGCACCUGGGUGUUGGUUUGCCAGCGACAUGUCUGGGGUUAUCCUUGUCUAUGCAGAACCUGGGUACAAAGCUGGUGAGAUGGCACAUCUGUCCCACUUCAUCCUGUGCCACCUACAGUGCCUCUUAGGAAGGUGCUGUGCUCAUUCCAGGAGCCCUUGUAUGUCGUGUGAGCGAAGUCGAUCAUCCGGAUGUCAACUUUGGGGAGACCUCCGGGACAGCUGCGGGGUGCCGUCUGCGGAGCCUCCUGAGGGUGCAGGCUGCCCGGGGCUCUUUCCAGCGGCU